UACGAAGGGGGCUAGCGUUGUUCGGAAUUACUGGGCGUAAAGGGUUCGUAGGUGGCCAACUCAGUCAGACGUGAAAUCCCUCAGCUCAACUGGGGAACUGCGUCUGAUACUAGAUGGCUCGAGUGCAGGAGAGGAACGCGGAAUUCCAGGUGUAGCGGUGAAAUGCGUAGAUAUCUGGAGGAACACCGGUGGCGAAGGCGGCGUUCUGGACUGCAACUGACA
rnacentral:rRNA from 1 species